GACGAACGCUGGCGGCGUGCUUAACACAUGCAAGUCGAACGGUAAGGCCCUUCGGGGUACACGAGUGGCGAACGGGUGAGUAACACGUGGGUGAUCUGCCCUGCACUUUGGGAUAAGCCCGGGAAACUGGGUCUAAUACCGGAUAGGACCACUGCCUGCAUGGGUGGUGGUGGAAAGCUUUUGCGGUGUGGGAUGGGCCCGCGGCCUAUCAGCUUGUUGGUGGGGUGAUGGCCUACCAAGGCGACGACGGGUAGCCGGCCUGAGAGGGUGACCGGCCACACUGGGACUGAGAUACGGCCCAGACUCCUACGGGAGGCAGCAGUGGGGAAUAUUGCACAAUGGGCGCAAGCCUGAUGCAGCGACGCCGCGUGAGGGAUGACGGCCUUCGGGUUGUAAACCUCUUUCAGCACCGACGAAGCGCAAGUGACGGUAGGUGCAGAAGAAGGACCGGCCAACUACGUGCCAGCAGCCGCGGUAA
rnacentral:rRNA from 1 species